GGCUGUCGGCUUCCGUCGGACGGCACGCUCGGGUCUUUCUGCCUGAGGAUCCCGUGCACUUUAUUGUGGGCGGGGGACGCAGGCCGUUUACUUUGAAAAAAUUAGAGUGUUCAAAGCAGGCCUACGCUUGAAUACAUUAUCAUGGAAUAAUGGAAUAGGACUUUGGUGCUAUUUUGUUGGUUUAUGGGACCGAAGUAAUGAUUAACAGGGACAGUUGGGGCCGUUUAUAUUUCGUUGUCAGAGGUGAAAUUCUUGGAUUUACGAAAGAUAAACUUCUGCGAAAGCAUUCGGCAAGGAUGUUUUCAUUGAUCAAGAACGAAAGUUAGGGGAUCGAAGACGAUCAGAUACCGUCGUAGUCUUAACCAUAAACUAUGCCGACUAGGGAUCAGUGGAUGUCAAUUUGCGACUCCAUUGGCACCUUGUGAGAAAUCCAAGUUUUUGGGUUCCGGGGGGAGUAUGGUCGCAAGGCUGAAACCUUAAAGGAAUUGACGGAAGGGCACCACCAGGAGUGGAGCCUGCGGCUUAAUUUGACUCAACACGGGGAAACUUACCAGGUCCAGACAUAGUAAGGAUUGACAGAUUGAAAGCUCUUUCUUGAUUCUAUGGGUGGUGGUGCAUGGCCGUUCUUAGUUGGUGGAGUGAUUUGUCUGGUUAAUUCCGUUAACGA
rnacentral:rRNA from 1 species